rnacentral:rRNA from 1 species
UACGAAGGGGGGCUAGCGUUGCUCGGAAUCACUGGGCGUAAAGCGCACGUAGGCGGCUUUUUAAGUCAGGGGUGAAAUCCUGGAGCUCAACUCCAGAACUGCCUUUGAUACUGAAAAGCUUUGAGUCCGGGAGAGGUGAGUGGAACUGCGAGUGUAGAGGUGAAAUUCGUAGAUAUUCGCAAGAACACCAGUGGCGAAGGCGGCUCACUGGCCCGGUACUGACGCUGAGGUGCGAAAGCGUGGGGAGCAAACAGGG